rnacentral:tRNA from 1 species
AGAGGGAUGGCUCAGUGGCUAAGAGCACUGUUUAGUCUUCCAGAGAACCUGGGUUCAAUUCCCAGUUCCCCCA